GGUGAGUAAUGUAUAGGAAUCUACCUAGUAGUACGGAAUAAUUGUUGGAAACGGCAACUAAUACCGUAUACGCCCUACGGGGGAAAAAUUUAUUGCUAUUAGAUGAGCCUAUAUUAGAUUAGUUAGUUGGUGAGGUAAAGGCUUACCAAGACAAUGAUCUAUAGCUGAUCUGAGAGGAUGAUCAGCCACACUGGAACUGAGAUACGGUCCAGACUCCUACGGGAGGCAGCAGUGGGGAAUAUUGGACAAUGGGCGAAAGCCUGAUCCAGCCAUGCCGCAUGAGUGAAGAAGGCCUUCGGGUUGUAAAGCUCUUUUAGUGAGGAAGAUAAUGACGGUACUUACAGAAGAAGUCCUGGCUAACUCUGUGCCAGCAGCCGCGGUAAUACGGAGAGGGCUAGCGUUAUUCGGAAUCAUUGGGCGUAAAGGGCGCGUANGCGGGUUAAUAAGUUAAAAGUGAAAUCCCAAGGCUCA
rnacentral:rRNA from 1 species